rnacentral:rRNA from 1 species
CCUGGCUUAGGAUUAACGCUGGCGGCGUGCCUAACACAUGCAAGUCGAACGAAAUAUCUUCGGAUAUUUAGUGGCGAACGGGUGAGUAAUGUACAGGUAAUGUACCUUCGUACUGCGAAUAACAAGCUGAAAAAGUUUGCUAAUACGGAAUAGUUUCCUUCGAGGGCAUCCUUAAAGGAAUAAAGAUUUAUCGUGCGGAGAUCAGCCUGUAUCCUAUUAGUUAGUUGGUGGGGUAAUGGCCUACCAAGACGACGAUGGGUAACUGGUCUGAGAGGAUAAGCAGUCACAUUGGAACUGAGAAACGGUCCAAACUCCUACGGGAGGCAGCAGUGAGGAAUUUUGCGCAAUGGGGGAAACCCUGACGCCAGCAACGCCGCGUGAGUGACGACGGCCUUCGGGUUGUAAAGCUCUGUCGUGUGUGACGAGUAGGGACGGUAACACACAAGGAAGCCUCGGCUAACUACGUGCCAGCCGCCGC